GACGCACCGGACAGCGUUUUCAGAGGAUACAGAACAUUUUACAAACGGACAUGUUUAUAAAGGUAAAUGAUUUUACUGGUGCAUUUUUUUAGAUGACAAGAUAUCAAGUUAUGGG
rnacentral:lncRNA from 1 species